AUGUGUCAUUCUCCUUCAAUUAUGUCAGCAUCCAUGUGAUUCUUCCAUAUAGUUCUCUGUUUGCCUGUCUUGCAAGGCCCAAGGAGACACUGAAUGUGUUGUCUUCCUCGUGCUAUCUAUGAUGGAUUGCACUUUUUAAAUACUCAAGGCUUGUUGGUGAGGUGUUGCCAGGAAAUAGUUUUCUUCGCCUUUUUUCUGAUUUCUGUUUCUGCGGGGGAAAGCCACUUAGAGGAGAGGUACAGUUGAGCUAGCAAUGACUGGACUGAUGUGGGUUAGCGAUCCUGGGAAUUGGAAGAAUGGGGCUAUGUUACCACCUUCCCAGUUAUUCUGUAGACAGCAGGGUCUUCCUAUAGCUAAGUCUUCACCUCAUUUUCUGUCCUAGUUGUGAGACAGAAUUAAAAUUAACAUUUGUGAAUGGUCAAAUAUGUCCAGGCAAUGACCUCUACCUUUCCGCCACUUUAUCCCCAAAUUCUUAUGUGUACAGCUUGGAUAUACACAGACCACCAUAGAAAUUCAGGCUUCUAUUCUCUGGCCACAGCCUGUAGCUGUUUCUAGUCUCACAAGCUCCCAUCCUUUUAGACCUUUUUAGGUGUGACUUUCGAUUUGAGGGGUGAUUAUUUUGCUAAUAAUAAUGAAACAUAAUUGUCGUAACAGUAACAUUAAUACUCAUUAGUCUCCAUUGAGUACUUGGUUGGAGAAAGCACUUUAGAGGUAUGAGCUCACGCUUAGCACCUCCUAGGAGAUAAGUUAACUGUUGCCAUCACUGUUUUACAAAGCACUCGGAAACUCGGAAUUUUCCUUUCCCAAGAUCCACUAGCCUUUGGUAAAGCCAGAAGACUGACUUGAAAACUCAAGCUCUUUCCUAUGCUGAACUGCUGCUUCUAUGGAAUUUUGUAUCAUUCGAUUAGAACAUAAUUUCAUUUUGAAAAAAAAAAAAAAAACCACUGAAUUGCAAUGUAAAAAUAUUAAGCUAGAGAACUCCCUAAAGCAAUUCUGUAGUUAUGCUUGUACAUAUUUUAUGAAAUAACUCGCUCUAACCAUUUGAAUAUCUGACACAAGUUACACAUUUUACUGCUUCUAACAAUAAUGAAAUAUUACGUCAUUAGUAGCAAGUAAGUACAUACUUCUCAUUAUAUUUUACUUUCUACCAGAAGUUAUUAGAACAAGAUGUACUUUCUCUAUUCUUUAUUAACUUCCAGUGAUUUUUUUUUAGCAAAUGUGUUUUAAUAUUAAUAAAAAGAGCCAUAUUGACAUUUGGGAAAGUCAUAAGUCUGCAAGUGAUCAGCUGUGAGAAAAUUAUGAAAAUGUUAUAAAAUAUUCUUACUCUAAUAGUUGGUGACAUUUGGCAUUGUAACUAUCAC
rnacentral:lncRNA from 1 species